GCAGAAGUGAAAUUGAAAGUACAGACUACAAGGUGGAAUAUGAUCCCUCUACUAUCAACUAAAAGUCUUAGACUUGCUACCCUUCUGAAAAUGUUCUGAAGGGGCCCAGGAAGAAACCUCCUCUUCCCCAGCUGAGUUGAGAACCAAGUGGAAGACAAACAAAGAAGUUAGACAGGAGAUGAAAAAGUGACCUGCCUUGCACCUUGCCAGUUGGCUUUCUAGCUCUCCCCUGAUUUGAACUUCUGACAACAGAACAUGCUCCAUCAAACUUACCAUGUGAAGGACAGCACAUGGGCAUUCUUUCUGAGACCUGCAAAGAAAACAAAGGGAGAGGCUAAGCAGACAAAGGAAAACUCUUUCUUCUCAAAUCAAUCAGAUAAUGAACUCCUGUUCCCUUUAGGAGAAAUGAGUGGGUGGGGAGAGAAAAGCAAGCAGUUGACCUCUGGAGGUCCUUAGACUUAAAAACAUAAAGCCCAAGGAAGAAAAUUC
rnacentral:lncRNA from 1 species